rnacentral:tRNA from 1 species
GCCUGGGUGGCUCAGUGGGUUAAGCGUCCGACUUCGGCUCAGGUCAUGGUCUCGUGGUCCGUGGGUUCGAGCCCCGCUUCGGGCU